ACCUUUUUAAGUUAUUGUUUAUACCAAGAUGGUGAGGCUACGACAUCCUGGAAAUGAUACUUGGCUGGUUUUUUAUCUAAAGAAAACUAAAAAGUUGGCUAAGAGAUUCCCACAGACGGAGCUAAAUUUUUUGACCAAAAAGUGUCAAGCUUUUUGUUAAACUAAUUAAUUAAGAAAAUAGAAGAUAAAUCUCAGCCAAGGAUAAUUAACUCUAGAUCUAAGCACAUCAAAUAAGAGAACAAGAUAUAAUCAAUCUUAUAAAUUUAUAAGAUAUCAAAUGUAAAUGAUAGGCUUACAUUCUUGACAUAUUAUCCCAUGAUGUAGUGAUAAAGACAUAAAAGAUGGAAUUCCAUCAACAAUGACAAGAUCUAUCUUUAUUGAUUCGAUCAACACGAUUAGAGAGAUUUGUAUUCACUAUCUAAACCAUUUCUUGAUUUUCUUCCUUUUUUCUCUUUCUGGGAGAGGAAGUCCAUCUUUUCUUGUCUUCUUACCCCCUAUAUAUAUUAUCAGUAUUCCCUUUGAUACAUCGGUCCUUAACCAGAAUGCCUUCAUCCAUUGAUUGUACUCCACGUUGCCUCCCUCAAGUACCAUGAUAUUACUUCGCCAUAUAGGCUUUUUGAUGGCUCAAUCUCGGUAGUGGAUGAGGUAUUCAUUGUUAUUAUACCUUGUGGGUACGACCAUGGAUUAGCUGACAACUUACUAUUUUUAUUAGUG
rnacentral:lncRNA from 1 species